UUUGGCAAAAUAUGAAGUUUAUAGAUAUUUUUUUUCUUGCUGUUGCUUUUUAUUAUUUGAUAUUAAAAAAUUUAUAUAUAUAUAAAUAAAACAGAGAUUUUUUUCAACAUUAUUAAACAACUUUUUCUCUUUCGGAGGUGCUGCGCGUUUAUAAAUUUAUGUAUUUAAUAGUAAAAAUGCAAUUAAAAUCGUCAAGACAUAGACAAAUGUGUGGUUAUGAGUAAUAAAGGAUUAAGUCGUUUUAAAAUGGAAUUGAACUAGGUUCCUGCAAAGUGUAGUUAUUUAUAGUUUGAACAGUUAAUGGUUUGGUCGUUUACGAGUUAUACUCUUAUUGCUUGAAGCCACAGAAUUGGAACUUAAAACUAAUAGUAAUGUACACAAUUUUAAAGUAAAUACUUAAGCUAAGUAUACAAAUCAUUGAUGAAAUGUUGCUGCUACAUAACUAGCUUUUCUUUCUACAUUAAGUUAAUGUUAUCAUUAUGUUAAGCUUAUGUAAAGAGAAUGUUGGUUGUUUAAUUUCUAUUAGAAAUAAAAUGUUAGUUGUAUGUUAAAAACUUUUCAUCAUGGCUAUAUAGCUAAAACCAAAGAAAAAACACUUGUUAUAUUUAAAAAAAAUAAAUCUUGUGGUUGUUGUGUGUUUUUAGUUGUUUUUGUUUUACUAUGAGAAAAUGUUAAAUGUUGUUUGUGUUAAGACGUUGGUUGCUUGUUGUUUUAUGAGAGUAUUUGUAUUUUUUUCGAUUAUUGUUGUCUGUUUUUUGAACAGUAACUUUUUUGUUGUAGCUGACUUUAAAUCAGUUGAGUUUUUAACAUUUAAUGCAAUACAACAAAACGCGGCGUGUUUUAAAACAAUUUAUUAUUAUUUUUUUAAAUGAUUCAAUAUUAUAAAAUAAUAAAAUUUUAAAGUGCUUAAACAUUUAUAAAAAAAUGAACCAAAAUAAUUUAAAAAAAUAAACUAAAAUUUUGUAAAAAAAAAUGGCAGAAAAUUAAAAUUUUUUUUUAAAAACAAUUAUCAAUUUAAAACCACAACAAAAAUCCUUAUUGUAAAAACAAGAAGAAAAAGGAUUGUGUUAAAAAUUCUUUAAAAAAUUUUUUAGUUUCGUCAAACUGGUUGCAAAAGUUUGAAAGUGAAUAGACUGUGACGUAUGAACGUUCAAAUCUACGCAAUAUUUGUUAAGUGUAAUUCUACUACCAUAUUUAAAAACUAGUUUAAAUCAAAAAAGAAAAAACUAUAACAUUAGCAGAAUAUAUAGUAUAUUGAUAAAAAAUUAAAUAAAAUAUAUCUAAAAUCUUAUACAAUUAACUAGAACAGAUUUAAAAAAUUAUAUAAAAUAUAUAUAUAACAAAUUGUUGUUUCACAAUUUUUUUUUUCAAACAAUAAAUGAUAAAGGUCAUAUAACGUUAUAAUUUCAAUUUUUUUAACAAAAAGAAAAAAACGAAUGUUUUAAUAUAUUUUAUUUCUGGUGAGGAUUAAUCAUCAAUAAGCAACAAAAUAUAGAGAAACAAAUAAUAAUGUUAAAAUAAAAUCAAGCCUCCACUUAAACGUGCUUUAAAUUCGGAAAAAAAUAAAUCGAUUU
rnacentral:lncRNA from 1 species